AUUGAACGCUGGCGGCAGGCCUAACACAUGCAAGUCGAGCGGAUGAAGGGAGCUUGCUCCUGGAUUCAGCGGCGGACGGGCGAGUAAUGCCUAGGAAUCUGCCCUGCCUUUGGGACUAAGGUCCGUAAAGGGGCCCUAAUACAAUACCGGUCCAUAUGUUGAACCGGGGGGUUCUUUGGUCAUCACCCGUUCUGCUGACCCUAGGUCGGAUUAGCUAGUUGGUGUGGUAAAGGCCUACCAAGGCGACGAUCCGUAACAGAUCUGAGAGGAUGAUCAGUCACACUGGAACUGAGACACGGUCCAGACUCCUACGGGAGGCAGCAGUGGGGAAUCUUGGGCAAUGGGCGAAAGCCUGACCCAGCCACGCCGCGUGAGUGAAGAAGGUCUUCGGAUUGUAAAGCACUUUAAGUUGGGAGGAACGACAGUGAGUUAAUACAUUGCUGUCUUGACGGUACCAACAGAGUAAGCACCGGCUAACUUCGUG
rnacentral:rRNA from 1 species